GAGCGAACGCUGGCGGCAUGCUUAACACAUGCAAGUCGCACGACGGUUUCGGCCGUAGUGGCGGACGGGUGAGUAACGCGUAGGUAUCUAUCCACGGGUGGGGGAUAACAGCGGGAAACUGCUGCUAAUACCGCAUGAUGCCUGAGGGCCAAAGGCGCAAGUCGCCUGUGGAGGAGCCUGCAUACGAUUAGCUUGUUGGCGGGGUAACGGCCUACCAAGGCGACGAUCGUUAGCUGGUCUGAGAGGAUGAUCAGCCACAUUGGGACUGAGACACGGCCCAAACUCCUACGGGAGGCAGCAGUGGGGAAUAUUGGACAAUGGGGGAAACCCUGAUCCAGCAAUGCCGCGUGUGUGAAGAAGGUCUUAGGAUUGUAAAGCACUUUCGACGGGGACGAUGAUGACGGUACCCGUAGAAGAAGCCCCGGCUAACUUCGUGCCAGCAGCCGCGGUAAUACGAAGGGGGCUAGCGUUGCUCGGAAUGACUGGGCGUAAAGGGCGCGUACGCGGAUUGCUUACUUAGAUGUGAAAUUCCUGGGCUUAACCUGGGGACUGCAUUUAAUACAGGCAGUCUAGAGUGGGAUAGAGGGUUGUGGAAUUCCCAGUGUAGAGGUGAAAUUCGUAGAUAUUGGGAAGAACACCGGUGGCGAAGGCGGCAACCUGGAUCUUGACUGACGCUGAGGCGCGAAAGCGUGGGGAGCAAACAGGAUUAUAUACCCUGGUAGUCCACGC
rnacentral:rRNA from 1 species